CACCUGCCCUCCCCAAGGUCAAGGCAAGUCAUUCCAUGUCUCUGCUGCACAUUUCCCUUGCCCAGAAAAGGCAGUGUGACAGCUGCUUUGCAGGACUGGUUUAGGAAUUCGGAGAAAAUUGCACAUCAAACCAUUAGCAUUGUGUCUGGACCAAACAUGUCCAAUAAACGGUACUUAUUGUCAUCAUUAUUUCCAGAUAAAUGUCCAGUGGACAGCUUGAUAUGGUGUGCAAGCCUAGAAAAAAGUCUGUGUCAACUACGUCAAGAAGACGUUUCCUCAAACAUGAUCCGUGGAAAACUUUCAUGCCUGUUGCUUUGGGCCAGUGGAAGGGUUAUACUUCCAACCUUCACGUUUUAAAAGGGCCUGGGGCCAAGAUGUGCAGAGAAGCUGGAGGUUCACGUACGUCACUCAGCGUGUCUCCUCAUUUCUCUUCUCCACCCGGGUGCUGCAGUCUCUCACCUGGGGUCCCGGGCUCCUGUGGAGGUGUGAGGAUGGUCUUUUAUAUCACUUUUUCCUUGAGGGGACACAGGCUGCGGCCUCCUGUGGUACCAUCUCACUGAUGUCCUCUUAAUCGAGUCAUUACAUCAUUAUCCACCAUCCGGAAAGCCCUCAUUAAAACCUGUAGGAGACACAGACCACUUUCCUUGUUUUCUGGAUUUCUCAGCCUAGAGGCGUAGAUCUAGUGGAGUUGAGGCGGAGAUGUUACUGAAUGACAGUUGGACACAGAGCAUCUGUGAGGCCAACACGCUGUAGGGUGAGCCCCAUGGGGAGGGGUCUGCUCCCCGCCUGGGGUCACUGCCCUGGAAAACCCUUCACCACUGGGCAGCUCUUUGACCUCUGCACCUUGAUCCUUUCUGGACUCAGUGUAAAGUCCUCCUUUUUUUUUUUUUUUUUUUUUUUUGUCUUUUUGUCUUUUUUGCUAUUUCUUGGGCCGCUCUCGCGGCACAUGGAGGUUCCCAGGCUAGGGGUCGAAUCGGAGCUAUAGCCACCGGCCUACGCCAGAGCCACAGCAAUGUGGGAUCCGAGCCGCGUCUGCAGCCUACACCACAGCUCAUGGCAAUGCCGGAUCGUUCACCCACUGAGCAAGGGCAGGGACCGAACCGCAACCUCAUGGUUCCUAGUCGGAUUCGUUAACCACUGCGCCACGACGGGAACUCCGAAGUCCUCCUUUUUAAAGUACUUACAGUUCUGAACUUGCAGGCUGUGGCAUCAGUUAGAGGCAUGGCCCACGUCAAGUUCAGUGCAUGUAGAUCAUUGUUCUGUUCGAGUCGCUCUAAGACAGAAGCGAGGGAGGUCAGAGUGGGUAUCUGGCCGCCUGGCAGGAGGUAGAUGGACACAGAGGGGCAUGGUGUGGAGGUGGGAUGGGACCAUGAAGCUGCUUCCUGGGGCCCCAGAGCUAGACGGGAGGCCACCCUCCCUGCGAAGUUGGAUGGGAGUGGGACAGGCCUGGGAGAUGGCUGAUGCUAGGAUGAAGGCUAACAAGCCCGGCCUCUAUCUUCCAGCCCGGGAAGUGGGGCCAGGCAAGGGUCAGAGAGCUCAGUUAGGAGGUUGGCAACACAGUUCAUGACCAGAGGCUCCAGCACUGGUCCACGUCGGCCAGAGGGAGGAGAGGGAAGGCGAAGAGGCCAGGUUUGGGCGGAAAUGAAGGAAGGAACCACAAUUAAGAACCUCUGGGAAUGCCGAUAGCCGCGGGACGUGUAGUUCUCCUGUUUGAUUUGUCCCCAGAACAGACACACACAAAAGCCCUGUGCUGCCAGAAGACAGAGCGUCCCAUCAAGAAAAUGCAGGGGGAAUGAAGAAAGGACAGGGAAACCCUCAGGAUGGUGUGUGUGUUCAGACCCCACAGCACCGAACUGCAGUGAGUCACAAAAACCCGGCACAAUGAAAUGAGGUAAGAUUUCAUUUCCCAUUAGUUCUUUUAAAAUGUAUUUGAUCUUCGAAUUGAGUAAAACUGCAAGUAUUUUUAAAAGCUAAGUCAUUUUUUCUUUAACUUUCUUCCAUUAACCCCUUCCAAAAGAGUAGUUUUUCUGUCUUUCAAAUUCUCAAAGAAAUAGACCUUACUUUUGAAAAAAAUCUGUAGAAAGUAGAUCGACAUCAGAAGUUUCUACAGCUAAACAGCAAUAAAAUCACAGCUGAAGAAACGGGUGUGGUGCAGGCUGUUCCGAGCAUCCAGCAAUUUUGAUGCAAAAAUCUCUGUCUGAUGAGCCCUCCUGACUGACAAUACAGUAAGUGUGCGUGUGCUUUAAGAGAACACCUUGCAGCAGCAUCUUAAAACCGUUAGGAAACAUGGGAUAAAGAUGUUCAUUAAAGGUGAUAACGAAGCUUAGGAUGGACCUGAAACGGCCCAGAUAGAAAGCAGCAAAUCAAAGCCAUCACAGGUAGGGCGGGCUGCUCGCUGC
rnacentral:lncRNA from 9 species